GCAAGUCGAGCGAGGGCUCUUCUCCCGCAAGGGAGGGGAGUUCCUAGCGGCGAACGGGUGAGUAACACGUGGGCAACCUGUCCCAUCGCGGGGGAUAACAGCGGGAAACCGCUGCUAAUACCGCAUGUCGUCACUGGCCGCAUGACCGGUGAAGAAAGCAGCAAUGCACGAUGGGGUGGGCCCGCGGCCUAUCAGCUAGUCGGUGGGGUAACGGCCUACCGAGGCGAUGACGGGUAGCUGGUCUGAGAGGACGACCAGCCACACGGGGACUGAGACACGGCCCCGACUCCUACGGGAGGCAGCAGUGAGGAAUCUUCCGCAAUGGGCGAAAGCCUGACGGAGCGACACCGCGUGUGGGAUGAAGUCUUUCGGGAUGUAAACCACUGUCGGAGGGGAAGACAUCGACGGUACCCUCCAAGAAAGCCCCGGCUAACUACGUGCCAGCAGCCGCGGUAAUACGUAGGGGGCUAGCGUUAUCCAGAUUUACUGGGCGUAAAGCGCGUGUAGGCGGCUGGUUAGGUGUGAUGUGAAAUCCUCGGGCUCAACCCGAGAACUGCAUUGCAAACCGGCCUGGCUAGAGUGCAGGAGAGGGAAGCGGAAUUCCAGGUGUAGCGGUGAAAUGCGUAGAUA
rnacentral:rRNA from 1 species